CAGGGCAUUCUGUGUAUGCAAAAUCCAUGAGCAACUCAUCACGUGAAGCCUUAUCUCCUACUUUGUCCAGUUCUGCUCAUUAAAUUGUGGAUGUAAUCUAUUCAAUCUAUGCUUCAAUUAUAUAUAUAUCACAACUCCAACCGAUGGAAAAUACCAAAACCCUGUAAUCACCAGCUUCAAAAGACACGUUUCCAAAGUAAUGUUUUGCCAAAAUGUUAAACAUAUGCAGAUCUUCCUCUUAAACCAAUCUUAUAAAAUAGAACUAAACAAACAAAACAAAACAAAUAAACAAAAGCUUAAAAUUCGCCGCAGUUGUACAGUUUAUAUUUAUCAUCAAAACAAUGAAUAUCAAUGUGAAUUAGACAGUCCAGUUUAAAUUACUUUUAUAGUAUAAACUGGAUCUUACUGGUUAUUUGUCUAAAACAUUCAACAUGCUUUCCUUAAACAAAAUUCAAAAGAGUUAAACCCGGAGAAAUUAUAAUGUCAACUUAACAAAUCUAGACAUUUUCAAAAUAUAUCAAUUUUACCUAGGUCUUUUACUUGUCGUUGAAUUUAAAGUUUUAUUCAAAAUCGUUUUAAAUGGAUAUAAAUCAAAACAAAAUCAAGUUUAGAAAAAUCACCAUAAUCCCACCUGAGUACUUUUACUGAUUAGUGAUAACUUUAAUCAAUAACAGAUUCUUCAAAACAUUUCUUAAAACAUUUUUGCUCCAUUAAAUUAAUGCUCUGAAAAUGGCUAACACAAUAAUAUUUUUAAUUUCUAUAAUUGUUUUCCCAAGUUAAUUUACCAAAAUAUGCUUCAUUAAUCGCUAUAAAUUUGUUAUCUAUCGUUUCAAAAUACUUUAGCCCAUUGUCAGAACAUCUUUCAAUGGAGAACGACUCAAAUCCAUUCAAAAGAAACAUAUUUCACCAGACCAUAUCUUUCCUUUCACUUUUUUAUGUGUAACACAGAUCAAACAUGUUCUUCAAAUAAAAAAUUUUAUUUAAGUAAUAUAAAUUUCAGUAAUCUCUAAUUAAGUAAAAUAAACCCAUAAAAAUAAACCCAUAACAUAUUCUCCCCCUUUUGAUGAUGCAUUAACUGUUAAAUGCAACAUCAUUUCCAGUACCUGAAACAAAAAUGUUGAUGAAACAGGGUUAACAUUUUAGCUGAGAACCCCACCGAUAUGCAAUGCUGCCUUUUUCUAAAAAGUAAAGUUUUCAAAACAAACAGAAUACGUCAUUUUAGCAUGUGUUAAACCUUCAAGAAUACGAUGUUCCCAAAAUACUUCACAUUACAGUUUUAAAACUCAUUAGUUCAUCGUACUCUUAUGACUUACAAAUAAUUCAGUAUAAAACGUCUCAAGAAGUUUACUAAUGUCUGACAAAGCAUGUUUACCAAUUAAGACUCAGUGAAGGUUUUGCAUAAACCAGCCAGAGAGACGUUGAAGAAAAAUCAAAACACAGUUAACAAAGAAAAUCCAAAAAAUAAUAAAUUGGGCCCAAACUGAGGUCAACAUAACAAAAACACAAUACAGGUAGUAACAGAACAACUCAAACACAAACUGACCUAACACAGACAUGAGGGGACAUUAGAUAAUGGCUGAUCAGACCAUUAACACACACUAAGGGGUAAUUAAACACACAAAACCCUAACAAAUACUGGUCAGUAUAUGACUAAAUCUACAAAUGAAAGAAAGUAA